AUUGAACGCUGGCGGCAUGCUUUACACAUGCAAGUCGAACGGCAGCACGGGGGCAACCCUGGUGGCGAGUGGCGAACGGGUGAGUAAUGCAUCGGAACGUACCCAAUCGUGGGGGAUAACGUGGCGAAAGUCACGCUAAUACCGCAUACGUCCUGAGGGAGAAAGCAGGGGAUCGCAAGACCUUGCGCGAUUGGAGCGGCCGAUGUCUGAUUAGCUAGUUGGUGGGGUAAAAGCCUACCAAGGCGACGAUCAGUAGCUGGUCUGAGAGGAUGAUCAGCCACAUCGGGACUGAGACACGGCCCGAACUCCUACGGGAGGCAGCAGUGGGGAAUUUUGGACAAUGGGCGCAAGCCUGAUCCAGCCAUGCCGCGUGCAGGAUGAAGGCCUUCGGGUUGUAAACUGCUUUUGUACGGUAACGAAACGCCCCUUCCUAAUGAAGGGGGUGAUGACGGUACCGUAAGAAUAAGCACCGGCUAACUACGUAGCCAGCAGCCGCGGUAAACG
rnacentral:rRNA from 1 species